GGGAAGUAGAGAAUAAAGUAUAUACUUGUUAGUUACCUCUUGUCCCAGCAAGACAAAACUUCUUUGUUCCUUGGCCUGUGGGUAGUGCGCAGGACUGUAGCACCCGUGUAGAAUGACCUCUUGCAGCAUGCACCCUGUUCUGAGGAUUAGUACAAGAUCUUUUGGCAAAAGUCCCUCAGGUGAAUCGUGUAUGAUGGAAUCCCUUGAGGUGAAGCACAGCUUCGUGCAUGAUGUCCUCUGGUGCUUGGAUAGCAGAGCUUUGCAAAGUGUGUUUGGUUAGCACAGCUCUGGAAACGGUGAACAGCCUUCUGGAAAAGGCUGAAACUUGCUAAACAGAUGGACUUCAGACUAUGCGGGAGUGUUUAGGAGCACUAAGGAGUCAGACCGGCUGUACACUUGCAUGGUUCCAGAGCCCAGCAGAGCCUUCGGGGGCAAUGGGACAGCUGCUUCUCCAUUCCAUGAAUCCUAACUUCUGAGUGGAUGCUUCCACCAAACCCCAGUCCUUGCCUGAUUUCUCACACAGAUCUGGUUUAUAAUGGCUGUACCUCAAGUGCUCAGAAUUUCAUUCCUGGCAUGUGCACCCUUCCUGCUUUGUAACCAGGGAACAUUCAUCAUUAGUCAGCAGUAAAGUCACUUCUGAGUGAUUGACACAAAACCAUGGAGCUGUGUUUGACUGAAGAGACUGUGUAGAAGGGUUGAACAGUUUUAGCUGCACGAGGCCUUUACUGAGUAAAGUUUUCCUUACAAAUGUGCUAGAAGGACAUGAGGUGUGCACUGUGAGAGCAGCAACUGCACCACCUCACUCAGGACACGGCUGCUGAGGGAGCAGAGGAGGACCCAGCAGAUGGUUUUUACUGCUGUUAAAAAACAGUUGUUUUUUUUCCCCAGCAGCCUGGAAGCUCUGCGGAUCCACCAGGGUGUGUGGAGCCGACAGGGAUACAGGCGGUGCUGGAUGUGCCAGGGAAGGGGAGAGACUUGGAAAGUAUUUACCAAAGAGUUUGAGAAGUACUCGCCUAGGAAAUCACGAGUGCAUUGCGUCCCUUUCCAAAUGCUGCAGUAAACAUUACUGAAGGCAAUUCCGUAAAACGGGGCACUUUUACGAGUGACUUUUUUUGUUGCUUUUUGAUUGCACUGACUUUCCUUACCCUUCUCUACCCCCAGUGUGUCUUCUUUUCUUGCAGCUUUGUGUCUCAAAGUGCCCAGACAGGUUUGUGACCUACAUUGAUGUUCAGGCUUCCUACAGAUACAAACCCGAUCAGUGGAAUUACUUCAAGCAGUUCUGCAGACCUGGUUUUAACAGUCCUCGCAAGUCUGUUGCUCAAGUCCUACGUGAUGAAGAUUGUCCUUCGAUGAUCAUUCCAAGCAGGCCUUGUGAGUGGUUCUAUUUCUUACACACAACUUAGCAGAUUGUAAGUGUUCACAUGAAAGCACA